rnacentral:rRNA from 1 species
ACUCCUACGGGAGGCAGCAGUGGGGAAUCUUCCGCAAUGGGCGAAAGCCUGACGGAGCAACGCCGCGUGAAUGAAGAAGGCCUUCGGGUUGUAAAAUUCUGUCUUCAGGGAAGAAGAAAGUGACGGUACCUGAGGAGGAAGCCCCGGCUAACUACGUGCCAGCAGCCGCGGUAAAACGUAGGGGGCGAGCGUUGUCCGGAAUUACUGGGCGUAAAGGGCGCGUAGGCGGCUUACUAAGUCUUAUGGUGAAAACUAUCGGCUCAACCGGUAGCGUGCCUGAGAAACUGGUAGACUUGAGGGCAGGAGAGGGGAGUGGAAUUCCCAGUGUAGCGGUGAAAUGCGUAGAUAUUGGGAGGAACACCAGUGGCGAAGGCGGCUCUCUGGCCUGUUACUGACGCUGAGGCGCGAAAGCGUGGGGAGCGAACGGGAUUAGAUACCCCGGUAGUCCACGCCGUAAACGAUGGGUGCUAGGUGUAGGAGGUAUCGACCCCUUCUGUGCCGUAGUUAACACAAUAAGCACCCCGCCUGGGGAGUACGGCCGCAAGGUUGAAACUCAAAGGAAUUGACGGGGGCCCGCACAAGCGGUGGAGCAUGUGGUUUAAUUCGACGCAACGCGAAGAACCUUACCAGGGUUUGACAUCCUCUGACAGCCUAUGAAAGUAGGUUUUCUAUCUUCGGAUGGACAGGGAGACAGGUGGUGCAUGGUUGUCGUCAGCUCGUGUCGUGAGAUGUUGGGUUAAGUCCCGCAACGAGCGCAACCCCUACGUUUAGUUGCUAACGCGUGAAGGCGAGCACUCUAGAGGAACUGCCGUUGACAAAACGGAGGAAGGUGGGGAUGACGUCAAAUCAUCAUGCCCCUUAUGUCCUGGGCUACACACGUGCUACAAUGGCCGGUACAAAGGGAAGCGAAGUCGCGAGGCGGAGCAAAUCCCAAAAAGCCGGUCUCAGUUCGGAUUGCAGGCUGCAAUUCGCCUGCAUGAAGUCGGAAUCGCUAGUAAUCGCAGGUCAGCAUACUGCGGUGAAUACGUUCCCGGGCCUUGUACACACCGCCCGUCACACCACGAAAGCUGACAACACCCGAAGCCGGUGACUUAACCUUUAUAGGAGAGAGCCGUCGAAGGUGGGGUUGGUGAUUGGGGUGAAGUCGUAACAAGGUAACC